rnacentral:rRNA from 1 species
UACGUAGGGUGCAAGCGUUGUCCGGAAUUAUUGGGCGUAAAGAGCUCGUAGGCGGUCUGUCGCGUCUGCUGUGAAAACUCAGGCUUAACCCUGAGCUUGCAGUGGUACGGGCAGACUAGAGUGCGGUAGGGAGACUGGAAUUCCUGGUGUAGCGGUGAAAUGCGCAGAUAUCAGGAGGAACACCGGUGGCGAAGGCGGGUCUCUGGGCCGUAACUGACGCUGGAGGAGCGAAAGCAUGGGGAGCGAACAGG